GCUUGGACUGCAGUUCACGUCAGAGUGCGUAGCUACGCUUUUUUAUUGUACUCGUGUCUACUGCUGAUCCCAUGGCUCCUAGCAUCCCCAGUCUUGAACCAUGGCGCAAGGAUCCAUGCAUUUCUUCUGUCUGAAAGAUGGCUUCCCAGCCUGAAAUGAUAUUAAAAUGUCAACUAACAGCAA